CAGCAGCCACGGGAAUACGAAGGGGGCUAGCGUUGUUCGGAAUUACUGGGCGUAAAGCGCACGUAGGCGGCUUGGUAAGUUAGAGGUGAAAGCCUGGAGCUCAACUCCAGAAUUGCCUUUAAGACUGCCGAGCUAGUAGGUGAGAGAGGUAAGUGGAAUUCCGAGUGUAGAGGUGAAAUUCGUAGAUAUUCGGAAGAACACCAGUGGCGAAGGCGGCUUACUGGCUCAUUCUAGACGCUGAGGUGCGAAAGCGUGGGGAGCAAACAGGAUUAGAUACCCGCGUAGUCCCUGUCUCUUAUAC
rnacentral:rRNA from 1 species